rnacentral:rRNA from 1 species
GACGAACCGUCCGAACGUUAUUCGGAAUCACUGGGCUUAAAGGGCGCGUAGGCGGGACCGUAAGUCAGGGGUGAAAUCCCACGGCUCAACCGUGGAAGUGCCUUUGAUACUGCGGACCUCGAGGUGGGCAGGGGCGUGCGGAACUUCCGGUGGAGCGGUGAAAUGCGUAGAUAUCGGAAGGGAACAACCGGUGGCGAAAGCGGCGACACUGGCCACAACGUGACGCUGAGGCGCGAAAGCGUGGGGAGCAACAGGGAUUAAGAAACCCUUGG